GGGGAAUAUUGCACAAUGGGCGCAAGCCUGAUGCAGCGACGCCGCGUGAGGGAUGACGGCCUUCGGGUUGUAAACCUCUUUCAGUAGGGAACAAGGCCAGUCGUUGACUGGUUGAGGGUACUUGCAGAAGAAGCGCCGGCUAACUACGUGCCAGCAGCCGCGGUAAUACGUAGGGCGCAAGCGUUAUCCGGAAUUAUUGGGCGUAAAGAGCUCGUAGGCGGUUUGUCGCGUCUGCCGUGAAAGUCCGGGGCUCAACCCCGGAUCUGCGGUGGGUACGGGCAGACUAGAGUGAUGUAGGGGAGACUGGAAUUCCUGGUGUAGCGGUGAAAUGCGCAGAUAUCAGGAGGAACACCAAUGGCGAAGGCAGGUCUCUGGGCAUUAACUGACGCUGAGGAGCGAAAGCAUGGGGAGCGAAC
rnacentral:rRNA from 1 species